CAGCCGCCGCGGGAAUACGAAGGGGGCGAGCGUUGCUCGGAAUGACUGGGCGUAAAGGGCGCGUAGGUGGCGUGCACAGUCAGAUGUGAAAUUCCUGGGCUCAACCUGGGGGCUGCAUUUGAUACGUGCGUGCUAGAGUGUGGAAGAGGGUCGUGGAAUUCCCAGUGUAGAGGUGAAAUUCGUAGGUAUUGGGAAGAACACCGGUGGCGAAGGCGGCGACCUUGUCCAUUACUGACGCUGAGGCGCGAAAGCGUGGGGAGCAAACAGGAUUAGAUACCCCGGUAGUCCCUGUCUCUUAUAC
rnacentral:rRNA from 1 species